rnacentral:sRNA from 1 species
CCAACGUGUACCGUGUGGGCCACAAGGGCAAGGUGGACCUCAAGUGUGUGGGCGAGGCAGCGGGCGGCUUCUACUACAAGGACCACCUCCCAAGGCUUGGCAAGCCGGCCGAGCUGCAGCGCAGGGUGAGUGCUGACAGCCAGCCCUUCCAGCAUGGGGACAAGGUCAAAUGUCUGCUGGACACCGACGUCCUGCGGGAGAUGCAGGAAGGCCACGGCGGCUGGAACCCCAGGAUGGCGGAGGUGAGCCGCCCCACCGUGGAGCCCUGUGUGCCCUGCCGUCCCAGCCCUCCGUACCCCAGCCCCUUCCUCCCCAAGCGUCCAGCCCGACCCAGCCACAGCUCCAUGACCCGCCACAGUUUAUCGGACAGACGGGCACCGUGCAUCGCAUCACGGACCGCGGGGACGUGCGCGUGCAGUUCAACCACGAGACGCGCUGGACCUUCCACCCCGGGGCGCUCACCAAGGUGCCUGGGGGGCUGGGCUGCGCCUCAUCUGUUUGCUUCUGUAACCCCUUCCACAUACCCACUCGGCCUUGGGGGGUCAGGCAGGACUAGGGUGCCAGCUGCACCCACGA